rnacentral:rRNA from 1 species
AUUGAACGCUGGCGGCAUGCCUUACACAUGCAAGUCGAGCGGAGUGGCGGACGGGUGAGUAAUGUCUAGGAACCUGCCCGGUAGCGGGGGAUAACUACGCGAAACCGGCGCUAAUACCGCAUACUAUUAGCUCGGCCGAUGUCGGAUUAGCUAGUUGGUGGGGUAAAGGCUUACCAAGUCGACGAUCCGUAACUGGUCUGAGAGGAUGACCAGUCACACUGGAACUGAGACACGGCCCAGACUCCUACGGGAGGCAGCAGUGGGGAAUAUUGGACAAUGGGCGAAAGCCUGAUCCAGCCAUGCCGCGUGUGUGAAGAAGGUCUUCGGAUUGUAAAGCACUUUAAGUUGGGAGGCGUUACCAACAGAAUAAGCACCGGCUAACUUCGUGCCAGCAGCCGCGGUAAUUC